GACGAACGCUGGCGGCGUGCUUAACACAUGCAAGUCGAACGCUGAAGCCUGGCUUUUGUUGGGUGGAUGAGUGGCGAACGGGUGAGUAACACGUGAGUAACCUGCCCUCUUCUUUGGGAUAACGCCCGGAAACGGGUGCUAAUACUGGAUAUUCACUUGCCUUCGCAUGGGGGUGGGUGGAAAGGGUUUUUUCUGGUGGGGGAUGGGCUCGCGGCCUAUCAGCUUGUUGGUGGGGUGAUGGCUUACCAAGGCUUUGACGGGUAGCCGGCCUGAGAGGGUGACCGGUCACAUUGGGACUGAGAUACGGCCCAGACUCCUACGGGAGGCAGCAGUGGGGAAUAUUGCACAAUGGGCGCAAGCCUGAUGCAGCGACGCCGCGUGAGGGAUGGAGGCCUUCGGGUUGUGAACCUCUUUCGCUCAUGGUCAAGCCGCAACUCGUGGUUGUGGUGAGGGUAGUGGGUAAAGAAGCGCCGGCUAACUACUUGCCAGCCCCCCCGGUAAUACGUUUGGCGCGAGCGUUGUCCGGAAUUAUUGCGCGUAAAGGGCUUGUAAGCGGUUGGCCGCGUCUGCCCUGAAAAUCCUCUGCUAUACUGUG
rnacentral:rRNA from 1 species